rnacentral:sRNA from 1 species
UGCACUACUUGUGCGAAAUCAUUUAAACGC